UCACGGCUCGGGUGGUCUAGUGGUCAGAGCGUCCGCCUCGGAAGUUGGAGGUUGCGUGUUCGAACCCCGGCCGUGUGAU